rnacentral:lncRNA from 1 species
CGUAGAGAUAUGAGUUUCACAAGCACUUAUCAAUCUUGCAAGUCCAAAGUCGGCGACUUUUGGCUUAUAAUCCUCGUUUAGUAAAAUGUUGCUGGCUUUCACAUCCCUAUGAAUGAUGCGAGGUAUGAAACCGUGAUGAAGAAAAGCCAGUCCUUUUGCCGCGCCGGUUGCAAUUUUGUAACGUUUGUUCAUAAACAAGGAGUUUUUUCCUCACACAUUGAGCAAUAUCCAAGCAAUGAAACUGGGUUUUGAUGCUUUACCUUUCCUAAGGUUUCCGUUUCCGCCAUGAACUCGCGAUGACCUUGCGUUUUAGCUUCACUAAGCUUCUUCACGGCAACUGUUCUUCUAUUUGAUAAAGUAGCUCUAUACACAGUUCCGAAACCUCCGUCUCCGAUUAUGUUUGUCUUGCUGAAAUUAUCGGUAGCUUUGAGGAUAUCAACCAAAGUUAAUUUCAAAAGAGGCUGCUGCCACGUGAUACUCAAGGUUCCUUUGAUUUGCUAGCUUACUCAAGACGUAAGAUUUUGGAUCCAAUAUUCAGAUUUGUAUCGUCGAGUUCUCGGGAUCGUGUGCUUCCUGCUAAUCCAUCUAUGACAAAAGCAAAGGUCAAGGUUAUUAAUAUAACCGUAAUGGCGAUUCCACCAAGCCUCCAUGCAUUAAACAAUGCAUAUCUGCUGAUACUUUUGACCUCACAAUUUGUACCCAACAUCUGGAAAUAUCUUUUGAAGAUAGAAUAGAAUAGAUAUUCCAUCUUCAUUCUCCUUUUGUAAUUCAUAUGUACUAUAAAGCACAGUUUCACUAUAGUAUGGAGUGAAAACGCUGAAUGGUAAUGUUUCACUAACAGGUUUUGCUGAUGGCAUAUCCAUAAAUAAUGAAUUUGCAAAAAAACUCCAGUCUUCUCCUAGCUUCUAGAUUUUUUGGAACAUUAGCAGCAGAGUCCUUUACAGUAAGCAGCAGAUGCAACCGCUUCACAAGCUCUUUAAUUUCAGGAUCAUUAGGCCACUGUAUCCUAGAAAAAAGGCGGACCUCCUCCCUAGCCCUUGCUAAAAUGUUCCAUGUAUCAAGAUUCUCUCUUAAAUUGGAGGACACCAGGUCAUGAGUAACAACAUCAUACAGCUCAUAAAUAGCUUUUGCAGCACCUUUCAUAAAGCCCUCACUUCCAAGUCCAACAGAGUCUUCAUCGACAACAACACCAUUUAUAACAUUGUCACCUGUUCUGACAUCGGGAAUCUCAUACAUGGCAUCUGCCAAAACAUUAUCUAUUAUUGCCCGUAGGCCCCGAGCACCGGUAUUUUUAGACAUUGCUUUUUUUUGCAAUUCAUUUGCGAGCGCUUUCCGUGAAGUGUAGUUUCACUCCAUUAAUUUUGAACGUCUUCUUGUAUUGCUUCUCUAGAGCACUCUUUGGUUCCGUGAGGACCUGAAUGAGUUGAUUUUCAGUUAAAGCUGACAGACUGACAAGAAUAGGAAACCGUCCAACAAAUUCAGGUAUUAAACCAUAUGCAAUAUCUAGUGACGAAAGUUGUCAAGGAUUAUUCCUACUACGUUGAGCCGCCUCGGUGAUACUUCCGGCUUUCAUCUUUGUACGUACAGGUGCUCCAAAUCCAAUAGAAGAGUCUUGGCGCCUGUCUGAAACUGUUUUCUCUAAGUCCAUGAAGGCUCCUCCGCAAAUGAAAAGUAUAUUCUUUGUGUCAAUCUGAAUAUUAUCACCUCUCGGAUGCUUUCGAGCUCCCUUUUCAAGAACAUUGACAACUGUUCCCUCAAGCAUUUUCAGUAAUGCCUGCUGAACACCUUCACCGGAGACAUCUCUACUGAUAUUAAGGCUCUCAGACUUUUUGGUAAUCUUGUCAACUUCAUCAAUUUAAACAAUGCCUUGCUGAGCAGCUGCCACGUUAUAAUCUGGAGCCAUGAGGAGCUUGUAUAAUAUGGACUCCACAUCUUCUCCAACAUAACCAUCCUGAGUGAGUGUAGUUGCAUCUGCAAUAGCAAAGGGAACAUUUACAAACUUAGCCAAGGUUUUAGCAAGUAAUGUCUUCUCUGAUCCCGUCGGCCCCAUCAAAAGGAUAUUACUUUUCUCAAGUUCAUUAGCCAAGGUUUUAGCAAGUAAUGUCUUCUCUGAUCCCGUCGGCCCCAUCAAAAGGAUAUUACUUUUCUCAAGUUCAACUUCUUCAUCAACAUUGGCUUUACCAUCAUUACUUGAAUCUCCUGCAGACCACAUGGACUUUUCAUGAAAUAUUUUCUUAUAGUGAUUAUAAACUGCCACAGAAAGCACCUUCUUAGCUCUCUCUUGUCCAAUUACGAAUUUAUCAAGCCCCUUGCAAAUUUCCUUCGGAGUAGAGAAACUACCUCCCAAAUUAGACCCACCCCAACAUCCAUCUUUCGAAUUCACGGACCCGGAGUCACCACCGGAGCUAGCACCACCUCCGAUUUCCUCUUGCUGAGCCUUACUAGCCAACACCAAAAUCUUAACAGCAGGAUAUUCAAGACAGCGGCCAAGUAAACAGGGGCAUCGGUACCAACACGCUGAGCAUAUCUACCUUUCUUCAAGAAUCGACCGAUUCUUCCGACUGGAAAUUGAAGUCCGGCUCUGACGGAUCUUGUGACCGCCUUCUUCCAUUACGGCUCCAACGGCACCUCACGCUGAGCAUAUCUACCUUUCUUCAAGAAUCGACCGAUUCUUCCGACUGGAAAUUGAAGUCCGGCUCUGACGGAUCUUGUGACCGCCUUCUUCCAUUACGGCUCCAACGGCACCUCCACUGAAUAGAUCUGCCAUAGCUAUGCUACUCUUGUUUGUGUUCGAAUGGAUUAUAUUUGCAAUCAUAUAUGUUUCUCUUUGAUGAAAAUAACAAACGAGCAGAUUCUAAAGCAGAUCUCAUUCCACUACUCAUUUGGCUGCCAAGGUUCGACAAUACAUGACUUUGGUCACCAACAUGAUGUUUCUGCUGCAGUAGCUAUGACUGUGAUAUCAUAAUAGACUCAUUCUUUCCAGGCUGGUAACACCAUAUAUAAUUGCACCAACAAUAAGUGCAGAAACAGAAGCAGCAAUUUUUGUUGUUCUGGCGAGCACAAUUUUACUGGAGCUAUUUACAUCAUUUGGCGUGGUAGCACUAGUAAGAAGAUUCAUUCCAAAAUCAUCAGAUUCAGAGUACUUAACACCUUCAAUUAAAGCAUUUAUGGAACUGUAAGAAGCAUCCUGCAAAUUCCCAACUUUUUGUCUGUUAUAUCAGUCUGCCAAGCGUACAAAGACCGAUCAUACUGCUGGAUGAUUCUCUGCUUUGUUGGUCUUUAAGACAGUUAUCGCUUCUCAAAUGCAAAAACAAACUUCAUCAAAUUGAGACAAAGAUAAGUAUGCGUCUCCGAUGCUGCAGUUGAGGUGAUGCGGUAACCGUUGUCCCAUCUUCGAUGAAUGCCUUCACUAGGAUACAAGAAAUCAAGCUCCACAACCUGAUCUUGUAAGAUUGCUGCAAGUACAGGGUCUAUGACAUGCCACUGACUCUGCCACAAAAAAAUCUGCUUCCUUAAGUUCUUUAAACACUGAACAAGAGAGUGCUCCAAUUGAUCUUCGUCUGACAUAUAAUGAACACCCCAUCUAACAUUUCUUCGCAUGACUGCCAAAACCACACCAAUUUCUGCAUUGAUCAUGCAUGCCACAGUAGUUCUGUUAAGAUAUCCAGCACCACACUGUCCAGCUUCCUCUUCCAUUGUAUCGGUACCAGUUUGCAUUUGCAACUUUGCAUGUUCAAUACCCCUCCAAGAUGCUUUUAUCCAUAGGCAAAUGUUCUGGUUCCAUUGAGAUAUGGUUGUGCGACAUAUCGUCUAAGGAAUUUGAUAAGCUUGGGUCAUAUGAUGCACAUUACUAUGCUGUUACCGGUUUAGCUUGGGCGUUUGGUGGAAGAUUUUUGUGCAGUUGUAGCCAGGAUAGAUUAUUGCGUGGAUGGAUUUUGCAUGAGCGCCGCCUAGAGGAAAUAACCAAAUUUUCUAAGAUGCCCCGUAGUAACGAGUCAACCUGCCCUUCAAGAGAUGCAUAUGAUUCAAGUUUUGGUGUAGCUGUGUCCCCUGGAAAUCUUGUUAUUGCAAGUGUUCAUUGCUUUGAUGUUGAUAAACUGAAACUGAAUCGAAUGUUAAGGGAGGUUCUAAGGGCACUAUUGACUACUUUGGAUUGUGGGCUACAAAUGGAUGUUUGGUUGAAAUCUCCUUUUCACGUUGCUGAUGAACUUCCAGUUUUCUUGAGAAAGAAUUAACUAUUGGGGACCAAUAUCAUAUGGUUUUUAACCAGUAUCAAUGUCUUGAAAGGCUCUGGUUUAUAUGGGAUUUUAUGUGCAACAUUAUGUUUCUCAUGGAUAACAACUCAAAAUAUGUAGAACAUUUAGUGAUCAAAUGGCUCUCAUUGUCACUUAUGGAAUCUCCUACGAACUUCCUCCUGAAGAAGUCUUAUCACGUCUCAUUUCAAGUUUUCGGACAUUCCUUCUCGGCUGCUACACUUACUCAAUAUAAUUGUGUAGACCUUGUAAUGUUAGCAAAGCUGGAUCUCUAUCAAAUAACCAAAAUAAACAGCAAAUUCAAAACGUAGAAGGGGCAUGUCCUGUCAUUUGAUGCAAAUGACUAAGUGGAUAGAAAUUCUUUUGGGCAGUGAAAGAGAGCUCUGUGAAAGGCACUUGGGUUUAGUUUCUCUGCAGUUAAAACUACCAAGUCCGCAUCUAAAAAUCCACUCCAUCUAAACCUGCCUGGCAUCCUUCUAUAUUGAACAAAUGGAACAAUGGGUUGUUUUAAAUCAGGACACAUACGCGACAAGUUGAAAUUCAUUGUACCGAAAGUUACUCUUCGUGAAAAAAGUUUUGCGUCCAAGAUGCUCACAGACAUGCAUUAUGUUCUGGCAGCGUCAUUUGAUNNNNNNNNNNNNNNNNNNNNNNNNNGGAGAGAGCUAAGAAGAAGAUGAACCUUAAUUACGAAACACCAUCACUCCUGGGUUCCCACUGUUACCAUGCAUUGUGUUAUGUUUUUCCAGCUACCAAUGGCACCGUAACAGACGACUUGUCCCAUUCUUCCUUGGGUCAUAACUGCUCCACAAGUUCGAGGUUCUGCGGUGUUAAGUGUUAGUGCUGUUUUAAAACAACAACUUGUUUUUUUGUUUAUUUUUGCAAAACCAGGAAACCAUUUGAGUAUUCAAAAUAUCUGCUUCCAACCUGUGAAACUGCUGCUAUCAGUAACACCAACUGCAUAUUGAAAAGUGUUUUGUUUUUCUUCUCCUUAUUACUUUGAUACAUUGCUCUUGCUUGGGCUUCAGUUUGGAAUUAAAGCCACGAACAUCUUACCAAAAUAAUCUCGCAAAAUUCCCGAUAACUUGAUGGUUUGAUUUGAGCAAUUCCCAUGCUAUUGUCUUCCUUCCUUAUUAUUUCUAGGAUUUAACGUGUUUGGUGGUUUGAACUGAACUGUUAUUUUGCAGGAUAUAUUGCACCACAUUAGUUUUCUCUGAGGCCUCAAGCACCAGUGUCGGUUCAGAAAUUAAACUGGCAUUGCGACGUGGAUUGUGGUAACAGUGUGUUUAUGCACUGAUCCGAACAUUUCCGUUUAACUUAUCAAUUUGCAUGUCUUCUGCGAGGUUCAGUGCAUCUCAAGUUGUGGCAGAGUUAAAACCUUUUAUGACCGAGCCAGUGAACCACACGUGCUAGUCCAUUUCACAGAAACAGGAUUGUUGUGCCAAUCUAGUAGAGAAAUUAAGUGUCAUGUUCUAAAGCCCUGGAUAUCAAAUGUUCGAGUCCAGAAAUUCUUCGUAAAACUUGCGUUGUCUUGAGCUUUGUGGUAGACGUGAUAUUUCAAAUGUCAUUAGGCUGGUGCGACAAACUGGCUAACAGAUCGAUCUUUACAUCCUUUACAUAAAAGGCUUUCUAUCGCAGUGCUUGACCAGGGAACCUUGUGUGAUAUGUGUAGGCAUGUUUGGUAGAUCUGUUCAUAUGGAAACGACUGGGGUGGGAGCUGUAAGAGAUAAUAGCGAGUGGAUGUCGUUGAACUGGCCACGACCCUCAUGCCUCUAAUCACACGCAGUUGAUGAUUUUCUCCACAGAUUCAAAAGCUUGUCAAGGGAGCUCUCAGGAGACAUAACCUUCAUUGUCCUAAGGGCAUUGGAAUUUAUAUUGCGAAAGAAAUAAGUUACUUUCAAAUGUAUGGGCUCAAAGACCACAAUGGAAGCAGUUCACCCGUUCUAAAUGUUCAUGUCCAAAACUGUGAAUGUGCUAUAACACACUAUCAGCUGCACAAUCCCAAGACCUCUGUGUAAUUGCUUUCUGCUGAUUCUGCACUGAAGCUCUACCAAGUCACAAUGUACGCAUUUAUUUGCGAGCCGGUGGAUUUUGAAUUGCUUAGAAGAAAGCGGUUUUGUGGACUUUGUCUUCCUGCAUGUAAAUCAGAUGCAGGAAGAUCUAGCAAUCUGGUGUGAUUACUUCCCUGGAUAGCGACAUAAGAGUAGAAUACUUGUGAUCACCCAGAUAUAAAAAGCAGAUAAAAUUCCAUAGCAUUUUUGUAUUUCACUAUGCUCGUCACUUUGAAGGACUUCUAAUAACAGCAUUAAAACAGGCCCUUAUAUAUAUUGCUUUCACUACAAUCGCCAGGGAAUUCUUCAGUAACAUUGUCACCAGUAGUCUAGUGAACCAGCUACCAAACCAUCAGCCUGCUCUUUGGUUUAUUUAAAAUUGGUCCAAUAUGUGGUAAAAUUCUGGAAACCAAGGGAUGUAUACAUCCAGGAAUGCUUUUGAUUGCCUCAAGAACUUCAAGUGCAUCAAUACUGAUAAAAGGAUCCAAAACAUGUGAUGCCCAUACAUUAAGAAUUACAGGAGAUAUAACACGUUCUACUAUGCAGGUGAUUCAUGGCCUGCCUUUACUGCUUCUUGCCAAUGUUUCGAGUACCAUGUGCAAGAUGCGAGAUACUUUGGAAGAUUCUUUCUUACAUAGUCUACAAAUGGUUGUGGCGUCCGAGGAGACAUUUCAUUUGUAACAGUGGGACUGAGACUGGGACUGCUUCUGUUAGGUGAUGCCGGUGCUGCAAUGGUUGCAGUGCCGGAGUACUUGUUUGCUGGGAUCUUAUCUGGUCUUAUCCAUGAAAUACAUGAAAGCGAUAAUUGAGGGGAAUCAAGCAGCAAUGAGUUGGCUGUUGUGUUUGCUUUUGAUUCUUCAAAAUCCUCUACCUGUAUUAGCUACUGGAGCUCUGAUGGGAGUGUGAAAGUUUGGUUGGGUGACAAAAACAACUCCAUCUAAACCUUGCCGCUGGCAUCCUUCUGGAUUGAAACAAAUGGAACAAUGGGUUGUUUUAAAUCAGGAACACGUACGCGACCAGUUGAAAUUCAUUGUACCGAAAGUUAACUCGUGAAAAAAGGUUUGCCGUCAAGAGAUGCUCAGCAGUGGAGUCAUGCAGUUAUUGUUCUGCAGCUGUUCCAUUUGAAUCCCCAGAGUUUGGUUUUUGUCAAAGUAAAGAUUGUACCAGUGAUAAUGUUAAACGGCGCAAGCUAUGGAGAUGUGCUGUUUGUAUGAAGGUUUGUCCUAAUAGCCCCCUACGGUUUUGUGUACGUUGCCACAGGGUUGUGUUUAGAUUGCCUCCAGAACCACUUUUUUAGGAUGUCUUCAUGUUGUCUAGAUUCAGAGUCGUCAAAUAAAUCUUCUCAACAACAAUAGAUUCAGCCGGAGAUUGAAAAUUAACACUUGAAUAUUUCUAAAUCUCCUUAUUUGUCGAAGUCGGAGUCUCUGUUGCAGCUAUCACAGUAUUUCUAAGCAUGCGAUGCCUCGCAGCUCUCUUCCGGAAACUCCAACCACGCUUAUCAUUAGAAUCCUUAACCUCAGAAACAACUCGUUGAUCUUGUCCUUUCUCACCACCACCACUGCAUGCGAUUAGUCUUAAACAGGAGCUAGAUUUCAUCAUAGCUAUGUGUAUGUUUCACACUCUUCUUCAGUCUCUUGUUCUUCUUUUGCGAACAAAACAAAAGCAAUUAUGCAAUUACCAUAUGCUAUGUAAAUGGUGGACCAUGAUUGAAUAAAUGAAUGAAAUAAACAAAAUAUGAAUGAGGAUGUGGAAAUUCUUGAAUAUGAAUGGAAUUUUUUUUCAAUGUGAAUAAAGAAAAUAUGAAUGUAAUUUUGGAACGUGAAAAAACGUAAAAAAAAUAUGAAAUAGUAAACAUGAACAUGAAUGAAGGAUAUGAAGGUGAGUGAAGAAAGAAUGCAAACGAGUGAUUGAUGGGGAAAGAUUUUCAGGGCCAAAAUCGGGGUAUGACAGUUGCCCCUAUUUAAACAUCCUCCACCAGAGGAAAAUGAAACAACAUUUUUCAUCGAAUCGCAGUGGGGGAUGGUAAAAUACCAUGGAGACCCAGAUUUUGAACCUGAAAAAUGAAAAUGCUAUGAUAUGAUAUGCAUGGAUGCAGGACUCUUUAUUUUUUUGAAUUUAUCUGUUAGGAAUACGGUGAACCCUUAACAGGAGGUGUUACCAGACAAACCAAUUUGUGGGGAAUGUUGAUGGUCCACGGGGAGACAGACAAAUAGUAAAAACCAACUCGCUGGGGAAAAUAAUCCUACUGGAGAAUUAGACACACACUAGAGAGUACUCAAAGUGAAAUUCGAUGAACAACACUUAGAAUACAAGAGAUUUCGGCAGUAAGUUCACACAUGACUUACUAAACCCGAAUAAGAAAAAUUUCUACAACAGGUUCAUACAUGACCUGACAACAUUGAAAUAUUCAUAGAGAAAGAUUCUUCAAAACAGGUUCAUACUAUGACCUGGUAAUACUGGAAUGAAAGCUCAAAAGCAGGUUCAUACAUGCCCUGACAAUGCUGGGGAAUACCAAGAACGGUUCUGACAGCAAGUUCAAACAUGACUUGACAACAACAGAAGAAAAAUCAAAAAGAGUGUAUCAACAAGUUCAUACAUGACCUGACAACACUGAAAUAAACAUAGAGAAAGAUACUUCAAAACAGGUUCAUACAUGACCUGGUAAUACUGGAAUGAAAGCUCAACCGCAGGUUCAUACAUGACCUGAUAAUGCUGGGGAAUACCAAGAAGUUCUGACAGCAGGUUCAAACAUGACCUAACAAACUCAGAAAAAUUCAAAAAGAGUAUAUCAACAGGUUCAUACAUGACCUGAUGACCAACUUGAACAUUUUGAGAAAAUUUCCACAACAAGUUCAUACGUGACUUGACAACAAUGGAACAAAAGAUUCAGUCACAGGUUCAUACAUGACCUGGUAAUACUGGAAUAAAGGCUCAACAGCAACGGGUUCAUACAUGACCUGACAAUGCUAGAGAAUAUCAAGAAGUUCUGACAGCAGGUUCAGACAUGACCUAACAAACUCAGAAAAAUUCCAAAAGAGUAUAUCAACAGGUUCAUACAUGACCUGAUAACAAACUUGAACAAGAAUAUCAAGAAGUUCUGACAGCAGGUUCAGACAUGACCUAACAAACUCAGAAAAAUUCCAAAAGAGUAUAUCAACAGGUUCAUACAUGACCUGAUAACAAACUUGAACAUUUUGAGAAAAUUUCCAAAACAAGUUCAUACAUGACUUGACAACAUUGGAAAGAUUCUUCAAAAACAGGUUCAGACAUGACCUGGGAAUAUUGGAAUAAAAGCUCAACAGCAACAGGUUCAUACAUGACCUAACAAUGCUGGAACAUCCAAAGAAUUUUCAAUAACAGGUUCAUACAUGACCUGAUAAAACAGGAACAUUCAAAGAAUUUUCAACAACAGGUUCAUACAUGACCUGACAACACUUGACUAUUCAAAGAGUGCUCAAUUAACAGGUUCAUACAUGACCUGCCAUCGCUUGGGAAAAACCAAAGGGAGUUUUAUCAAUAGGUUCAUACAUGACCUGAGAAUAUUGGAAAACAUACAAAGCAAGUUUCAACAAUAGGUUCAUACACGACCUGACACUUUAGAAUACAUCUGAUAGUUCUGGAGAUUUCUCACAAGAAAUUCAUCCAAUCACAGAUUUUGGAGACUCCUAACAGGGAAUUUAUGCAAAACAAAGAUAAACAUGAGUCUUAUUAUAAGUAGAUCACCCACGCAAAAGGCUACAAUGAUUCUUUACAGAGAAAUCAAACAAAACCAACAUCAUUGGAGUUUUUUAACUCGAAAAACCUCCAAGCUUCUGGGAACUCCCCAAGAUGAUGAGUCAUACAUGACUUUCACGGAACCAUCAGGAAAGACAAGGUAUUCAAACUCUCUGUACGUGCAAACAACAAUUGGACUUUGACCGUAAGCAAUGGAUUACAAUUAGAUUCUUUAACGGAUUUUUCCAACAACAAUUGGACUUGAUGAAAGUCAUUAGUAAACCAUUACCGGCUACAACGGAGUUUGCCAGCAACAACUGGACUUGAAAUGAUGUUGGCGACAACCAAACUUCAGAUAUCAAUCACAAAUGUAUUUACAAACAGACUGACAGUGAUGCCAACGACAAUUGGGUUUUAAAAUAAAUGUGGUUACAACCCGACCUUAAAGGAUACCAGUUACAACUGGAUUUGGUCAAAGACACUGGUGACAACCAGACUUAACAGACGAUGCCAGUAACAACUGGUCUUAGAGGUCAAGGGAUACAAUCAACAACGAGACCUGAGAUUAUGCAAAUGAGCGUGAAGCACUUCGAGCUAUGCAUGAUUUGGAUUUUGCUUAUAUGCAUGAUGUAUGAAUGAUCAUGAAAUGCAAAUGCUGACAAUAUACACUAGAAAUUAGGGAAAGCUUUAUGGAGGUACUGAAUCCUCAACACCAAUAACUCAAUCGAAUGAGUGAGUAAAUGCAUCAAAGGAGGAUCUAUCAAGCUGAACAAUUACAACUGGCCCAAUAAUCCUUCCAGAGAAUGAUAAAUUUGUGCUCUCUGGAGAUAGAUAUUGAUCAUCCAAGGGAAGUCUUGCAACUUGAGACUUACGGAGAAAGACGAAAGAUUUCCUUUUAAUAUUUCCAUAUGUCAAAGCAAAAUUGUGUUUUUCCAUACGUUGAAAAAUUCUUUUUGAGUUCAAAAUUUCAUUAUUAACAAAUAAAUGACAUUUUGCAUAACAAAGAAAAUCAGAGAAAAACAGCAAAUGAUAGAAUUUGAUAGGCAAACUUGUAUUUAUUCAAGAAAGUUCAAAAUUUCAUUAUUAACAAAUAAAUGACAUUUUGCAUAACAAAGAAAAUCAGAGAAAAACAGCAAAUGAUAGAAUUUGAUAGGCAAACUUGUAUUUAUUCAAGAAUGGUAGCACACAAAUGGCGUAGCUCCAUGGAAUAUUACAAAUUUGAAAAUGGAAAUAGGGAAAGGUUUACAUUGAAUCGCAAUGACUACUACUAUCCCUAAUAACAAUGACUCCACGAGACCUUGCUUCUGAAGGGAGUAACUAGAUUGAUCUUCUAUUUUUAGCUCUUCUAUGUUGAUCAGUGACGAACCGAUGCAGUCUAUGCCUUUUGUCCCUAAUUUUUGCCUGGAUCUCCCUUUCGGGUUUUCAAUCCACCGGGACGCUCCUUUUUGCCUAAGUCGCCCUUUCAGGUUUUCAACUUAGCGAGCUACCAUUUUUUUUAUCCCUAACUUUUGCCUGGACCGCCCUUUCGGGUCUUCAGUCCACCGGGAUUUGUUAGGCAUAGUAUCUUUUGACUGCAUCAGAGUUCACAGGGUGAAUGAGCUCUUCGUCAUCCAUAGUUGUGAGAAAUAGAGCACCUCCAGAGUAUGCUCUCUUUACAACGUAUGGGCCUUCAUAGUUGGGAGUCCACUUCCCACGUGAAUCUUCGUGUACUGGCAAGAUCUUCUUGAGCACGAGAUCUCCUUCCUUGAACUCUCGAGGACAGACCUUUUUGUCAAACGCCUUCUUGAUUCGUUGCUGGUACAAUUGUCCAUGGCAUAAAGCGGUCAUACGCUUCUCAUCAAUGAGGUUAAGUUGAUCAUAGUUGUUCUGGAUCCAUUCAGCUUCGUCUAGCUUGGCCUCCAUCAAUAUUCUCAUUGAAGGUAUCUCUACUUCAACUGGGAGAACUGCGUCCAUCCCAUACACUAAGGAGAAUGGGGUUGCCCCUGUUGAAGUGCGGACUGAGGUCCGGUAUCCAUGCAAAGCAAAGGGUAGCAUCUCGUGCCAAUCCUUAUAAAUUUUCACCAUCUUUUGCAGGAUCUUCUUGAUAUUUUUGUUGGCAGCUUCAACAACACCAUUCAUCUUUGGAUGAUAUGGAGAAGAAUUAUGGUGGUCAAUCUUGAAACUCUCACAUAAUUCUGUCAUUGUCUUGUUGUUCAAGUUUGAACCGUUGUCGGUGAUGAUCUUGCUUGGGAUUCCAUAGCGGCAAAUAAUCUCAAUUAUGGUGGUCAAUCUUGAAACUCUCACAUAAUUCUGUCAUUGUCUUGUUGUUCAAGUUUGAACCGUUGUCGGUGAUGAUCUUGCUUGGGAUUCCAUAGCGGCAAAUAAUCUCCUUCUUGAUAAAGGGAGCAACCACAUGUCUCGUCACAUUUGUGUAGGAAGCAGCCUCUACCCAUUUAGUAAAGUAAUCGAUAGCAACCAGGAUGAAGCGGUGACCAUUGGAAGCUUUAGGCUCUAUAGCACCAAUCAUGUCGAUGCCCCACAUUGAGAAAGGCCAAGGCGACGUCAAAACAUUUAGUAGUGUUGGUGGUACAUGCACCUUAUCAGCAUAAAUUUGGCAUUUAUGACAUUUCCUUGCAUAGAUGAAACAAUCGGAUUCCAUGGUCAACCAGUAAUAACCAGCUCUCAAAAUCUUCUUGGCCAUGGCAUGUCCAUUAGCAUGGGUUCCAAAGGAUCCUUCAUGAAUCUCCUUGAUUAACAUGUCUGCUUCGUGUCUAUCCACGCAUCUGAGCAGAACCAUGUCAUGGUUUCUCUUGUAAGCACAUCAUAAAAAGAAUUUGGACGAUAACCUCCUCAGAGUUUUCUUAUCCAACAAUGUAGCAUCUUCUGGAUACUCUUGACUUAAAAGAUAUCGCUUGAUAUCAUGAAACCAAGGUUUACCAUCAGUUUCUUCUUCAAUCAGCUGACAGUAAGCAGGCUCAUCUCUUCGCUCGAUUUGAAUAAGUGGAGCUUCAUUAUGGAAUCUGACUUGGUACAUUGAUGCUAAUGUUGCCAAAGCGUCAGCCACUUGAUUUUCUACUCUUGGGAUGUGAUGGAAAUUGAUAUCAUCGAAGUAUUCUAUCAUCUUCACAACAUGAGCACGAUACGGGAUCAGCUUCGCAUCCCGGGUUUCCCAUUCACCUUUGACUUGAUAAAUCACUAAGGUUGAAUCUCCAUACACCUCAAGGAUCUUGAUUUGGAGAUCAAUUGCGGCUUCAAGACCAAGGAUACAAGCUUCAUAUUCUGCGACAUUAUUCGUACAAUCAAAGCACAACCUUGCUGUGAAAGGGGUAAAGCCACCAUUGGGGUUCAUCAAAACAGCUCCCACACCAUGACCACUGUAAUUGGAAGAACCAUCGAACGCGAGCUUCCAUCGAGAUCCUAGUUCUGGUCCUUCCUUUGGGCCUGGGAUCUCACAAUCCUUUAUCACCAUUAUAUCCUCAUCGGGGAAAUCAAACUUCAAGGGCUGAUAGUCUUCAACUGGUUGGUGAGCAAGAUACUCUGCUAACACACUUCCCUUGAUUUCCUUCUGGGUUACAUACUGGAUGUCGUACUCUGACAAAAGCAUCUGCCAACGGGCAAGUCUUCCAGUCAAGGCAGGUUUCUCAAAGAUAUACUUUAUUGGAUCCAUUUUUGAGAUCAACAAAGUAGUCAAAUCAUGUACUGCCUCAAACGACGAGCGGCCAUGCUAGCGCGCAACAAGUUUUCUCCAAAAGCGAAUAUCGACUUUCACAAUCGGAACUUUUUACUCAGAUAGUAAAUAGCAUGUUCUUUCCGACCAGUUUCGUCAUGUUGCCCCAGCACGCAUCCCAUUGAUCCUUCAAGCACAGUCAUAUACAUGAUUAAUGGCUUUCCUGGGACAGGAGGAAUCAAAAUAGGAGGCUCUUGUAAGUAUUGACGAAUCAAAUCAAAAGCACUCUGACAAUCAGAAUUCCAUUCAACGGCUUGAUCUUUUCGAAGCAAUUUGAAGAUAGGCUCACACGUGGCCGUCAUAUGUGAGAUAAACAUUGAGAUGUAAUUCAAACGUCCGAGGAAACCUCUAACCUCUCGCUCGGUGCGCGGAGCAGGCAUUUCUUGUAUAGCUCGGACCUUGUCAGGGUCUACCUCAAUUCCUCGUUGACUAACGAUGAAACCCAACAACUUCCCCGAACGGACACCAAAUGUGCAUUUUGCAGGGUUUAAUCAUAAUCUAAACUUUCUGAGGCGUUCAAACAACUUCUUCAGAUGGCUCAUAUGAUCUUCUUCAUUCUGAGAUUUAGCGAUCAUGUCGUCAACAUAGACCUCUAUCUCCUUGUGCAUCAUAUCAUCUUCAUUCUGAGAUUUAGCGAUCAUGUCGUCAACAUAGACCUCUAUCUCCUUGUGCAUCAUAUCAUGGAAAAGAGUGACCAUAGCUCUUUGGUAAGUUGCCCCAGCAUUCUUGAGACCGAAAGGCAAUACCUUGUAGCAAAAGGUGCCCCAAGGGGUAAUAAAAAUGGUCUUCUCCAUGUCAUCUGGAGCCAUCUUGAUUUGAUUGUAUCCCGAAAAACCAUCCAUAAAGGAGAAGACAGCAAAUCUUGCAGUGUUGUCUACCAGAGUAUCAAUGUGUGGUAGAGGGAAAUCAUCCUUUGGACUAGCUCUGUUCAGAUCCCUAUAGUCAACACACAUCCUCACCUUUCCAUCCUUUUUGGGCACAGGUACAAUAUUAGCUACCCAUUGUGGGUACUUUGCCACUGCGAGAAAACCAGCGUCAAAUUGUCUUUUGACUUCUUCACGAAUCUUCAGAGCCAUAUCUGGUCUCGUUCUUCGGAGUUUCUGUUUUACUGGCGGGCAUUCUGGCUGAAGCGGGAGCUUGUGCUCAACGAUGUCGGUGUCUAGACCUGGCAUAUCUUGGUAUGACCAUGCAAAUACAUCCCCAUAUUCUUGUAGCAACUUGACCAAUCUCUCUUUGAUGCUUGCUUCAAGCGUGGUGCCGAUUUUGACUUCUUUCUUCUCUUCCUCUGUGCCAAGGUUGAUUGUUUCCAUCGAUUCUUCAUGUGGCUGAAGGGCUUUGGACUCGUGCUCGAGCAGCCUUGCCAAUUCGUCAGGGAUGAAACAAUCUUCUCCACCCUCUUCUUCGACUUGGUAGAUAGGGGAGUCAAAGUUAUGAGAGGUAGUAAAGUCAUUGGAUUCAACGGGCUUAUCAUUUAUUCUGCAUGUUUGAAUGAUUGAUUUCUUUUAGAAAAGUAAAAAUAAAGGAUGCAUAAAUGAAUUUUUUUUUUGUUUUUGAAAAGAUUGCCAUUUUCUUAAGAGAAAGCCAAUUAAAUGAAUAAAAAGAAUUUAACAAAAUGCCUUUCAUUCAUUGAUAAUGAUUAUUUGAAAAUGAAAAGGGGCCCUACAACAUGACCCAUUAGCCUUGGGCAGAGCUAAGGAUUUGAAAGGAAAAAUACAACAAUUAUUACUUUGACAAAGGAAAAAUUUCGGGGAUCUCAACCGCCUUCCAGUUGUUCAAAGCUGUCUCACACCGGUAAACCAAUCAUGGCUCAUCUUCAUUUUUGGUGCUAUCUUCAACUGCAUUGACUUGAUCUCCAUGGAUGAAUCCUGUGCUAAGGAAAACUUCCUGGAUGCUUCGGGUGUUGUCCUUUGUAGGGACUCGGGCUCCUUUCACAGCAGAAGGCACAUAUCCCAGACCAAAGCGAUCAUGCUUCUCACGAAUAUCAAUAAGUUGACCCCAACCUUCAGGGUUUCCUCCUUCGAUGCUAGACUUUGCGCUCUUCAGAGAUGCGAAAGAUGAACAAGCUUUCCCAACAGGGUUCUUCAUUUCCACAAAAGUGGCAUUGGCUAUUUCAAGAGCUUGGAAAUAAGUUUCCAAAGCGUCCUCAUCAGCCUCAAUGUAUCUGAAGGAUGAAAGGUGACUGACCACAAAGUCCUCCUCUCCAGAAAUGAUGAUUAAUUGAUUGUCCACUACAAACUUCAUUUUCUGAUGUAAAAGCGUCCUCAUCAGCCUCAAUGUAUCUGAAGGAUGAAAGGUGACUGACCACAAAGUCCUCCUCUCCAGAAAUGAUGAUUAAUUGAUUGUCCACUACAAACUUCAUUUUCUGAUGUAAGGUGGAGGUAGUUACCCCUGCAACAUGAAUCCAAGGACAUCCCAGUAAGCAGCUAUACGUUGGAUUAAUAUCCAUGACUUGGAAAUUAAUCGGGAAUACAUGAGGGCCAAUCAAUAUGGGCAGUUCCACCUCUCCAAUCACGGUUCUCCUGGAACCAUCAAAAGCUUUUACUACCAAGGCACUAGGCUUCAUAGCUGGUCCUUGAUAAGAUAACUUGGCGAGUGUUCUCUUUGGCAUAACAUUCAGAGAAGAUCCGAUAUCAACCAACACUCUUGCCAAAGCAUCAUCUUUGCAUUUUACUGAGAUAUGGAGAGCACGAUUGUGAUUUUGUCCAUCCUCAGGUAAUUCCUCUCCACUGAAGCUCAAACUAUUACAAGUUGUGAUAUUUGCAACUACUCCAUCAAAUUGGUAUACUGUUAUGCUUUGCGUUACAUGAGCUUGAGCAAGCACCUUCAACAAAGCCUCCCUAUGGGCUUGGGAGUUCAAUAGCAGAGACAGAAUAGAGAUCUUAGACGGUGUUUGAUGCAAUUGGUCCACAACCUUGUAGUCACUUAUCUUGAUUAACUUCAAGAAUUCCACAGCAUCUUCGGAUUGGACCACUUCGGGUUCUUUAGUAGGAGUUACAACUGUUGAUUCCUUGUUUGGCCCUUGAGGAGUCACAUUGAAUUCGGGCGCAUAGACUCGACCACUACGGGUCAUUCUGCUCAUUCCUGGAAUAUUGGUGACGUCUUCACUUACAGCUUCUGUCACUUCAGCGUCUGAACUUCCUUCAACUACCUUAUCCACAGCGGUAAUCUCAUAUUUCUAAGGCACAGCCUUGGUGCUCUCGUAGGGAAAAGGCGUGGGCAUACAUAUUUCCACAGGCGACGACUUACUAUUCACUGGAACCACUCCAUCACUAUAAUAUGGGAUUUCAACUGGUUCAGGUAAAUUGAAACAAGGUUCAAUUACCAACACGUCUUCGUUCUUCACAACACUGGAUAUUUGAAGCACUCCUUUAUCCAUCAAAUCUUGAAUGUUGUCUCGUACCACCUGACAUCCCUUUGGGUAUGUGGCACACUCUUCACAAUUUUCAUGAUUAACAUAUGAAGCACUCCUUUAUCCAUCAAAUCUUGAAUGUUGUCUCGUACCACCUGACAUCCCUUUGGGUAUGUGGCACACUCUUCACAAUUUUCAUGAUUAACAUUAAUCAUGCCAGCUUCCACCAAUCGGGUAUGGAAUGUUGCCAAAGGAGUCUUUACAUCAUCCACCUUAUCAACCGUAACACCAACAGAAACGUCCUCAAUGGCAUUUACCGCAGGAUCUCCAUGGGGAGGAAGAGGAUUGUUCUUCACAUUCGGUCCCAUGUCCUUAAAAGGAAAAUUCUUGCUCUCAAUCAAUUCAUGAACCCUAUGCUUUAGAGCGUAACAACCCUCUAGGUCAUGCCCGAGGGCAUCUUCAUGAAAAGGACAGUGUGCAUUAGGGUUGUACCAUGGAGGAAGACGGUCAGGUGGAGGUCCCAUAGGUCUGGGAACCACCAACCCAUUUUGUAAUAGGGAUGGAUACAACUCAGUAUACGACAUUGGGAUUGGAUUGAAGGUCGCCCUCUCCCCUUGCCUCCUAUUCUGGUUUUGAGCAUUUUGCCUUGGCGCUUGAGCUCUCGGUUGUUGGUAAACAGGAGUUGCUGGUACUUGUUGAUAAGCUGGAGGAGCCGCAGCACGUUGUUGAACUGGAGUUGGUCGAUAGACUGGAGGCGCUUGAUAAGCCUGAGCAGGCUAUUGAUUGAAUGCAGGUGUCACAGCAGCUACGUAUGGUUGCGGGGCGUACUGGACGGGAUACAUGGGUUGCUAAUAGGGAACUAGUUAUUUAACAUACUGCAGAGGUGGAUAUUGUUGUGGUCUCCUUCUUGGAGGAGCUCUUCCUUGACCAGCAGUCACGACAUUUGUUUCCCCCUCUUACUUCCUGGGAAACCCUCUAGAGAAUUUCUUUUGAUUAGCGCUUGAAGUUCCAGCUACAGCCGCCAGUUUGCCAUUCCUUACACCAUAUUCAACGCGAGCUCCUAUAGCAACAAGCUCGGAGAAUCCCAAAGAAGCACUUCCAACCAUCUUCUCGUAGAAUUGGGGUUGAGCCGCCAGUUUGCCAUUCCUUACACCAUAUUCAACGCGAGCUCCUAUAGCAACAAGCUCGGAGAAUCCCAAAGAAGCACUUCCAACCAUCUUCUCGUAGAAUUGGGGUUGGACCGUGUCGAUAAACAGUUCGGCCAAUUCCUUUUCAGCUAGAGGUGGUUCAAUCUGAGAAGCCAGUUCCCUCCAUCUUUGAGCGUAUUCUUUGAAGGACUCCUUGUCAUGUUGGAACAUGCUCUGCAAUUUUCUUCUGUCAAGCGCCAUGUCCAUAUUAUAUUUGUAAUGUUUUAGGAACGCGUUUGACAGGUCCUGGAAACACCUGAUCCUAUUCUGAUCCAGACUCAAAUAUCACUUGGAAGGAGCCCCACUCAAGUUGUCCUGAAAACAGUGGAUCAUCAGCUUGUCUUCCUCCACGUGUGCAGCCAUUUUGGGGUAAUACAUGAUGAGAUGGCUUUUUGGACAAGUAUGCCCCUUGUAUUUGUCGAAGUCUGGAGUUUUGAAUUUGGAUGGAAUCACCAACCCGGAUACCAGGCACAUUUCUUUGGCAGCAGAUCCAAAGACGUGGUCUCCCUCUAAAUCUCAGAAUUUCUUCUCAAGGAGCUGCAUGUUCUCCUUUACCUCUCUGAAAUCCUCAAACCUUACUUCGUCACCAGCAACGGUUGAGUCGACAGUCUGGUACAUGUGGUUUUGAUCUUCAUAAUGAGGAAUAUGCCUAGCAUAGGCAGCUGGUGGAACCACAAUAUGGAUGACUGGACGUGCGUCAGUGUAAACCGGUAAUGGCACGGCUUGUUGGACAUAUUGCCCCAUGUCGUGCACCACCUCCACUCGGGGGACGAAGUCAUAAGGUAGCCCAUACGGAGGAAGGGUUGAGGGUAACGUCCUCUGAGGUGGGACUUCCACUGCUGGGUCCGUGGUCUCUGAAAUCACGGUCGCUUGCGGAAUCUCAAACCUGAAGGUUAAAGCUUGCAGCAUCUCUCGCAUCUGGGACAUGCCUCCCUUGAUUUCAUCUAGUUCAGCUCUAACUCGGGCGCUUUCUUGUUCUUGUUCAGUCAUUCUCUGUCUUGCUCUGGCGCGAGUAUUAUACUGGUGUUGAAAAUUCAGCGUGAAACUGGAGGAAGAAAGGGCGGAGUGAGACUCUUUUUUUUUGAAAAUGUAUGAAUGCAUGUAUGGAUGCAUUUUGUUUGCAAAACUCUUGGUUAGUUUCAAUUAUUCAUUUCAGAAAUACCACAAUACUUGUUCGCAAAUAUUUAAAGUAAUAAGGAAAUGAAACACAAUAAAAAUGAAUCUCAAAAGUGAUUUUUCAUUAAUAUCAUUGCAAAGGUCAAAUACAAACAACGUGCUUAUGGCUUAUGGGCUUUCCGAACCGUAGCAAGGUCGGUAGUCAACCCUUCUAGCAUUGCUUUACAAAACUUCAUGAAAUUAAAGACUUGAUGCGGGGUGUUCUCUGGACACAUGCACCAAUCAGCUUCUUGCAGCUUCUCAGGUAGCUCUCGCAUGAUGGAACUCGCAAAUUCGGACAACCUCAGAAAUUUGCCCUUCCACUCAGUGUAAAGCCCUUGGAGAUCUUGAAUGAUGCACAAGUCUUCAGCCUUGGUCACCUCUAUGUCCCUAUAGAGGUUUCUCCAAUAUCUGCAUUCACCUAGCAACACCAUAUAGGCAGCAUCCUGAUCCCCACCUUCAAGUGCCUACCUCUAUGUCCCUAUAGAGGUUUCUCCAAUAUCUGCAUUCACCUAGCAACACCAUAUAGGCAGCAUCCUGAUCCCCACCUUCAAGUGCCUGGAUUCUAGCAUCGACUCGUUCCAAAUGAUAUUUCAGUCGUGUGCAAACUCUUUCUGACUCUUCAGUCUUCAGCUUCUCGCGUUCCAUAGUAUCCUUGUAUUUCUGAAUGGUAUUCUCCAGUUCAUGAGUACGAAUCUCAGAAAUCAGUCGUGCUUCCCUUUUCAUUUCAAGGGUCAGUUCCAGAGUCUUGUUGAGUUUUUGAAUCCGGAGUAAAGCUCUAUCCAACUCUUCCUCCUUUGACUUGAAUACAGAUUUUGUGUUGUAGAGCGCUUGUCCGAAUUUUUCCCUCCUUGCUUCAGACUCCCUAGCUCUUUUGUUGGAGAUUUCAAGCUCUUUGUCCUUCUUUUGUUGACCAUCUUUCAAGUUACCAUUCUCUAUCGAGACUCGGCCGAGCUUAAUUCUCAAAUCAACAUUUUCCAACUCCAACUCCUUGAUACGGGCAUUGAGCUUCUCUACAUCUUCAGGUAAUAUGGGUUCUGGCUCAGGAACCAAUGGAUAGAUAGAGGGAUCAAAUGGAAAAGAGAGUUUAAUCAUCUGAACCCUCUCUCUAACCCAACAAGUAUAAGGCUCUUGAGCAAUGACAUUUCUCUUACCAAACUCUUUACCUUUUCUGAUAACUGCUUGCCAAGACCUCUUGAUCUUUUUCACCAUGGGAUGAUCUCCUUCAGCACUGUGUAAGACAAAAGGCUCUAAAGCUUCAGUUUUUGGAGGGCCAUUCAUAGGGUACCCAUGCUGCCUCAGAGAUAACAUGGGGUUAUAGUUGAUGCAACCCUUGGUUCCUAUCAAAGACACAUAGGGGAAGUCUCCAAUGCUGACAAUGACAUCCUCGGUUUCCCAAUCCCUGAUAUACCACUUAACAUGACUAGAGGUGAGGGAAGCUAACUUCUGGGAAGGCUUGAGUUCCUUUGAGACAAAAGGACCUUCUUUGGGCAUAUGGGAUCUAAACCAGACAUGCAACAACUGCGCACAACAUAAGAUGAUUCCUCCCUUCUUCUCAUGACGAUCAUGGAGAGUGUAGUAGAGAUCUGCCAAGAGGAACGGUACAGGGUUACCAGAGAGGAAAAUUCUCACCGCCAGAAUGGAGAGUGUAGUAGAGAUCUGCCAAGAGGAACGGUACAGGGUUACCAGAGAGGAAAAUUCUCACCGCCAGGUGAUCCACAAAAUGGUCAAUAUUUGGGAAGAGAACUAUCUCAUAUACCAACACGACUAACACAACAUAGAAGGCUUCCCAAUUCCCUUAUUUCUCCAUCUUCUUAGCUUGAUCUUCCAAGAACUUCCUAGAAAAACCAUUGAAAUGUCCUUUCACAUCCCAAUUGUCCACGACUUCAGAAACUUUCAGACCCAAAGUUAAAGUUAUCCUCUUGGGAGGAAUAUCUUCAUCGAACUUAGGAAAUGGACUAUGAUCCUUCAAAUUCCGGCCUAUGAUCCUCUCAAACUCCUCCAAGGUAGGAGCCAACUGGAAGUCAGAAAACGUGAAACAACAUAGAGGUGGAUCAUAGAACUGAGCAAUAGUCAUUGCGGUUAUCACGUCCAUCUUCUCAUUUAGGAUGUCCAGAAUUCUUCCAUAGUUUUGCAUAAAGCUGUUGAGUUUGAUUGGUGUUACUUUGGCACUCAACUUCUGCAUGCUGACAAGGUCCACGUUCUUGUAUUUGAACUGAAAAGUGUCUCUUCUCUCAGGAUUCAUCUUGCUAACAAGUCUUGGGUUCCUGAAAUAAUGCGAAACAAACUAAGAGUUUUGCUUUUUAUGUGUAUGCAAUGAAUGGAUGGAUGCAAUGUUUUUUUUUGGAUAGGUUCAAAGGUCCGAGGUAUGGAUAAAUUUGAUUGCUUUCCAAAACAGGGGUUCUCACCGGGUAUGAUCUAGGGCUUUGUUACAAAGGAUCCCUAGUGUCAUUGAUUCACAAGAAUGUUUGACGCUUACGGGAAAUACUUUCCGGUCGUCAACUCCAUCAAGGGAAUCUAUUCUGGGUGAGGUUCUCGUACCGACUCUUACGAAGUAUUCACCUCGGGAGUCCAUACUACGCAACCAUCGACUGGGUUCUAGACAGGGUACUCAGAGUCAUGGGAUUCAAAAGACUGUUUGAUGCUUACGGAAAAUACUUUCCGUCAUCAACUCCAUAUUAGGGAAUCUUUUCUGAGCGAGGUUCUCGUAUCGAUUCUUACGAAGUAUUCACCUCGGGAAUCCAUGCUACGCAACCAUCAUUUCUAGUUGGCCAAAGGUUCAUGUAGGCUAAAAGGUUCUUAGAGUCAUGGACCCCUUUGAAACAUCGAAGCUUACGAGGUAUACACCUCGGGCGAUAAUAUUUGCAAAAGGAUCUACUCUAAGUGAGGUUCUCGUACCGACUCUUGCGAAGUAUUCACCUCAGGAGUCCGUACUACUCAACCAUCGUCCUAUCUUAUGUUUUUUCACUCUAGACUCGGGUGUAGAGUCUUUACCACAUGGUUUGCAAUCAAAUAUCCAAGUACCCAACACAGUGGAACCAAUAUACAACAAAUAUAUCAAUAUAAUAAUAUAGAUAAUAAAAAGCAAUAAAUAAGGAAAAGCCACACAAUUAAACAAACAAAGGCACACAAACGUCCUAACUAGGCUUGACUCGCUUAGGGAACAACAGUCCCCAGCAGAGUCGCCAUCUGUCGUACCUCAUAUGAAAAAUAUGAGAACACGACCUAAAGCGAAGCGCAAUCGUACGCUCGCAAUGAUGGACUGAACAAAGUCGCCACCGAACUUUAUUUAUUCCUAAAAAGGAAAGGGGAAAUAUCGAUAAAACCCAAGAAAGAAACGACAAUGGUUAUGGUCGUCACAACCAAAUCAGGGUUCGGGAGUCGAUUACGCAAGGGGAAGGUAUUAGCACCCCUCACGUCCGUUGUACUCAACGGAAACCAUUAGGUCAGUUGUGCGCGCUAUUUUUAGUUUGAAAUGUUAGGCUUUUCAAGUUAUUAGGUGCGAAAGAAAGAAUAGAAGAGAGGAUAAAUGUUUUUGGAUUUUUGACGAAGGACUAAACCUAAGUUUUUUAUUAGUGGGCCUGACAAGAUUUAAAAAUCCUGCUCCUACGUAUCUCAAUAGAGAAGUCAAGGCUUACGUAGUUCUGGGUAGAAAUUUAUUAGUGGGCCUGACAAGAUUUAAAAAUCCUGCUCCUACGUAUCUCAAUAGAGAAGUCAAGGCUUACGUAGUUCUGGGUAGAAAAAUGUUUGUUUGUUGGUCGAUUUUAGCGAAAGCUACUUUGCGUCAAAUCGACGAAAACAUUGUUGGACUACCCAAAACAGGUGGAAAAACAUUGCCUUGCAUUGUUUUGAAACAAAUUACCUUUCAUUUGUGAAAAGGUUUAAGAGGUCAAUCGCACGGGGCGAGAAAAGAAAUGGAUUGGUUUGACGUGUUUUGAAUAAUGGCGAGAACUUGGAUGAGCGAGAUAUCCAUCUCGAAUCCUAGUCUCAAGAGUGCAUGGUAUACACCACGUUCCAUUUCCAUCUUUAUUUGUAAAAGUGUUUAAUAAGGAUUAAGUAUUUUAAGGUUUGAUUGAGAAAGGGUUUGAAGAAACCGCAUUGACAAUUUAAAAUGAUGGCGAGAGCUAAGAUAGGCGAGGCAUCCGCCUCGAAUCUUAAUCUCAGCAGUGCAUGGUAUACACCAUGUUCCAUUUCCAUCUUUGUUGAAAAGUGUUUAAUAAUGGAAUUAAGUAUUUUUGAGUUUUUGUUAUGAAAAUGACUUGACAUUAGAUCAAGCAUUUGAUGAGCGAUUGAGAAAGAUUUGAAAGAAGGUUUGAGAGAAAACAAAGUGGAUAAAUUUGGAUGAUGGCGAGAACUAGGAUGAGCGAGACAUCCGUCUCGAAUCCUAGUCUCAGGAGUGCGUGGUAUACACCACGUUCCAUUUCCAUCUUUAUAAAAUUUGGAUGAUGGCGAGAACUAGGAUGAGCGAGACAUCCGUCUCGAAUCCUAGUCUCAGGAGUGCGUGGUAUACACCACGUUCCAUUUCCAUCUUUAUUGAAAAGGUCUUGAAUAUGAAUUAAUACUUUUGAGUUUUUGAUUAUGAGAAAUGGCUUGACGUUGGAUCAAGCGUUUGAUGAAAGUUUGAGAGAAAUGGAAUAGAAUGGGAAGAAGAAAUGAGUUGAUUUGUUUAUUGAGAAAAUACUCGACGUUGGGUCGAGUCUUAUUUUUUUGAUCUUUUGGAAAUGGUUGAUUUUAUUAUUGUGUUAGUAGCUAACUAAACAGUCAAACCAAUAAAGAAAUGAAAAGUAGUAAAAUUAUUACACAUCAAGGGAGUGGGGGUACAUUUUGUCAAAUCGGGAUUCAAAGUACGGGAAUAAUUAAGUCGGGCCCAAACAACAAAUAAUGCAAUGUAUGAGUGUAAGUGCAAGAGAACUGGCUCAUUGUAAGAAGUCCCAAGAGUAAGCCAUGUGAAGAAAACAACAAAUACAAAAUUAUUUACAAGACGCUUAAAAAUUAAAUUGAAAGAAACAACAUCGGGACGCGCACGGAUAAAAAUUGAGGGACACACAAAACCUAAAUAAUGUGCUCAAAGUCGGUUUGCUCAUAUUGACAACAAUUGAAAUGUCAUAUGUGAUUAAUCAAAACACGACGAAAUACUAUCGAUGUAUCGAUAAAAAUAAUCAUGGAUAAACAACAUGGAAAUUGUUGAAUCCAUAAAUUAAAAUUGAUGUUUAACAAAUAAAAAUAAAAUAACAGCGAGAGAAUAAAAACUAAAGUUGAAAAGUGAGAAUAAAAUAAAACAAAUGAUUAAUAAUAAAAUGGAUCCUAAAUCAAUCAAAGAUUAAAAAUUGAAUAAAGUGAAAAAAAAACUAAAACCAAAGUGAAGCACAAGGGUAUCAAACCCAAGACCAAAGGCUUGCCAAAGCAUCCCUUUACCAAUUCAGCCAUACAAGCAUCCUUGUUGUAUAAACUCAAGCACUAAUACAUAAGAUAAAAAUGAACCAAAAUCUUAAAUAAAGUACAAAGUUAAAAAACAGUAGCAGGUUCUUAUAAACAUUUUCAUCUUCAUCCAGCGAUAUUUUUCUUUCCAUUUUGAAACAUCAAUUUUAACAGCAAGAUAACAUCACAAACAAACAUGGCGACGGUAUUGUUAAAUCAAACAUGGAGGCUUCGAUGAAAUCGAAUCAGAAAACAACCAUGGUUUCCUCGGAAGGAUGCAAAGCAGAAUCGAAACAUAGAAAUAAAACUCAGAAAGGAAGCUAACCGGUUGCGGCGAGCUCGACAGGUGAAUGUAGACAAGCGUUGCCUUCAAUUCUCUCGCUUUUUCUUUUCUGAAUGGUAGCCGCCAAUCCUCUCUAAAUUAGGUGUUUUUCAGCUCUUCCCUUCAUGAACAGUGGCCUCUCUUUUAUAUGUGGCUCAUCUCUCUCUGCUGUGUUGUUUGUGUCUUCUCAGAGUAGUGGGAAGUGUCUGUACGGAGGGUUGGGAAGUUUUUGUCCAUACUCAAGCUAGUGGUCCCUCCCUCAACUCUCUUCAUCUCCAAGAAAAUUUUACUGUCGGUAAGAAACUUAUUUACUGCAGUGCAUUUUUGCUUUUGAACAGACUUGGUCUAUCAGAAUACUGGCAUCAAAGUUUCUAAAAACGCAUGAUCCACCAUCACCCUUCUACUAAGAUUUGGGCAAAGAAAUGCAGAACAUUUUUCAUGACUGCCAAAUGACCAGCUAAUUUUCUCUUAGGAGUCACAAGAACACAUGGAAUUGACACAAGCACCUCACUGGCUUCUGUCUCAGGUGGAGAGGGAGUGUCUCUUUGUUCAAGCAUAAUACCCUUUCUGUCAAGCUUAGAGUACUCUUCUCCGUGGUACGUUGUUGUUGAAUUGGUUAACUCGUUCUCAGGCCAAGCUUCAGAUGCAACCACAUCAUUGUGCUUCGUGCAUUACAGUCCCACUGUUGGGUUGAGUGUCAGAGAAAACCACCUCACUGUUCAGUUGUUUCUGUCCUUCAUAAUCCUCCCAUGUUUUUAUAUCUGGUACACAAUGCCCCUGAUAGAAAAUGAAGAUUGCAGCAUUAUGCAGUUCACGUUUUUGGUUGAUAAUUAGAAUUAGAAGAUGACAAUGGUUGUUCUGAGCCAACUCUGUGGUUCUCAUCCUCUCCUUGAAUUCUAGCAGGAAUACCGAAACCUGUCAAAGCCAGACAAAAACCUGCUACCGAACAUCGAACUGUGGUGAAUAGGCUGAUGAGAUUUUGAUUAUGAUGAUUGACAGACGAAUCCGCCAUUGGAAUAUCAUUUCAAGGACGAAGCGAUGGCGAAAUACUGGAUUGAAAGGUUCCCCUAUGGGCGGAAAAGGCCGAACCUUGGCCUAGAAACGACGCAGGCGAAUUAUUAAUCAUGAAACCUGUUCUGAAUUGUCUUGGAAUGAAUGAAGAGAAAGACCAAGGUCCUGUGUUGAGUUGUUUAUUCUUAAGAUUAUAUCAGAAGAGUGGCUUUGAAAAUCAUCGGAUCGCCAACAGAACUCGUCGGCAAAAACACGGUAGCAUCAUUGUCAAUACUUGGUUGAAUGAAACCUGAAUGGUUGUGAUUCUGCUGCAAAUUGUAACCAGAAGAUUGAGCCGGCGAUAGCAUACAGUCCUUAUGUUACCCGCUACUGUGACUUGACUUAUACGAUGGAGGUCAGCGAAAAAGGUUGUUGCACUUGAAACUGCAAUUGGCAUCUGCUCUCCAUUAGCAAUUCCACAAUCAGGUAAAGGCAAUCAGAUCCAUUUUUCACCAAUUUCCCAAGCGCUAUUUAAAAAUUGCAUCCUAGAAAUUUCUUCUUGAUAUUUGAGAAGACAUCAGGGACUUGAGAUAAACAUUCGAAGACGAUUUUGUCCACCAAAAGCAAUGAUAUAACAAAGAUAAUUUUCGAACUCUGAAAUAGCUCCUCACUUCAUUUUGAUUGACACUUUCAGGUGGCAUCGGAGUACUAGGACCGAGACUUGCACUGCGAAUUGGAAAAGGUGUACCAGAAGAAUUUGCAUCGUGCCUUGCAAGCAAACUUUGGAUAGAGAUUUCUCCAACAGACUAGGAUUCUGUUUUUUCCCAUGUGAAUCCUCCAUUCUACCUUGACAGAAGAAGUGGAAUCCUACAUGGUUAAUGUUUCUUGCUGUAAUUUACUGGUUCUACAGUUUGCACUUUCUCGAAGAUCAUUAACGGCCAUUUGAACCAGUUUUUUCUUUCUAGCAUUUGAACUUGCUAGCAUUUCUGCCACUUUCUCCAGCAGUUGCUUUUCUUCGAAAGCAGUGCACUCCUCAAACUUCUUUUCAAGCUUGCUCAAUUUCUGAUCAUUAACAAACUGGGUUUCUUCCACAAUUUGGGUCAAACUUGAUGCAGGCCUAUCUAUUGUCUCAAAAAAGUUCAUCGGUAUUUUAGAUACUGCACGUGUAAUCUCGACUGCUCUGGCAUGUACCUCUCGCUGUUGAUGAGCAUAAGCAGUUAAAUUGGCCUCUUGCUGUUGAUCUUCCACUCUGUCCAUACUCCGGUGGAAUGUAGCCGAAUGUUCCAGCAAUAUCCGUAGAGAUAUGAGUUUCACAAGCACUGAUCAAUCUUGCAAGUCCAAAGUCGGCGACUUUUGGCUCAAAAUCCUCGUUUAGUAAAAUGUUGUUGGCUUUCACAUCCUUAUGAAUGAUGUGAGGUAUGAAACCGUGAUGACGAAAAGCCAGUCCUUUUGCCGCGCCGGUUGCAAUUUUGUAACGUUUGUUCCAAUCGAGGAUCUCGAGCCCCCCGGUCCUAUUCCUCAACCAAAGGUCUAAGCUUCCAUUUACCAUGCAUUCAUAAACAAGGAGUUUUUUCCUCACACAUUGAGCAAUAUCCAAGCAAUGAAACUGGGUUUUGAUGCUUUACCUUUCCUAAGGUUUCCAUUUCCGCCAUGAACUCGCGAUGACCUUGCGUUUUAGCUUCACUAAGCUUCUUCACGGCAACUGUUCUUCCAUUUGAUAAAGUAGCUCUAUACACCAGUUCCGAAACCUCCGUCUCCGAUUAUGUUUGUCUUGCUGAAAUUAUCGGUAGCUUUGAGGAU